AGGAUGAACGCUGGCGGCGUGCCUAAUACAUGCAAGUCGAGCGGUAAGGCCCCUUCGGGGGUACACGAGCGGCGGACGGCUGAGUAACACGUAGGAACGUACCCCAAACUGAGGGAUAAGCACCAGAAAUGGUGUCUAAUACCGCAUGUGGUCUUCGGAUUAAAGCUUCGGCGGUUUGGGAACGGCCUGCGCAUGAUUAGCUUGUUGGUGAGGUAAAAGCUUACCAAGGCGACGAUCAUUAGCUGGUCUGAGAGGAUGAUCAGCCAGACUGGGACUGAGAACGGCCCAGACUCCUACGGGAGGCAGCAGUAGGGAAUUUUCCACAAUGGGCGAAAGCCUGAUGGAGCAACGCCGCGUGCAGGACGAAGGCCUUCGGGUUGUAAACUGCUUUAUAUGUGAAGAUUAUGACGGUAGCAUAUGAAUAAGGAUCGGCUAACUCCGCGCCAGUAGCCGC
rnacentral:rRNA from 1 species